UUUGUCGUGGCAGCCGUUUCGCAACACUCGCAUCUGGACAGCGCAUCUGACUGCCGGUGCAGUGGUGGAGAAAUUGCUCCGCUGAGGACUCCCCUGGGCGCAGUGUUGUUAUCACCUGCGGGAUUUUGCCAUGGCCUGUGCGCCCCUCUCCCCUGACGGCUCGGGUGCUAUGCUGUGGCUGAAUGGAUUGGGUGCUAUUAAUUGCUAGGCCCACCUUCGGACAACUGGUCCUGCUGUUUUGGCUCUUUG